GACGAACGCUGGCGGCGUGCUUAACACAUGCAAGUCGAACGGUGACGCGCCUUCCUUUUUGGUGGGUGUGGAUGAGUGGCGAACGGGUGAGUAACACGUGAGUCACCUGCCCCCUUCUUCUGGAUAACCGCCUGAAAGUGUGGCCAAUACGGGAUAUUCUGGGUCUGCCGCAUGAUGGGUCUGGGAAAGAUAUUGUUUCGGUGGGUGAUGGGCUCGCGGCCUAUCAGCUUGUUGGUGGGGUGAUGGCCUACCAAGGCGGUGACGGGUAGCCGGCCUGGGAGGAUGGACGGACACAAUGGGACUGAGACACGGGCCAGACUCCGACGGGAGGCAGCGGUGGGGAAUAUCGCACAGUGGGAGCAAGGCUGAUGCAGCGACGCCGCGUGAGGGAUGGAGGCCGGCGGGUUGUGAACCUCUUUCGCGAGUGAAGCAGUCCUGCCUCGUAUGUGGGUGGGUUGACGGUAGCUGAAUAGGAAGCGCCGGCUAACUACGUG
rnacentral:rRNA from 1 species